rnacentral:rRNA from 1 species
UACGAAGGGGGCUAGCGUUGCUCGGAAUCACUGGGCGUAAAGGGUGCGUAGGCGGGUCUUUAAGUCAGGGGUGAAAUCCUGGAGCUCAACUCCAGAACUGCCUUUGAUACUGAGGAUCUUGAGUUCGGGAGAGGUGAGUGGAACUGCGAGUGUAGAGGUGAAAUUCGUAGAUAUUCGCAAGAACACCAGUGGCGAAGGCGGCCCGCUGGGCAGUGGCUGACGCUGAAGCGCGACAGCGUGGGGAGCAAACAGG